GCCCAGAUAGCUCAGUUGGUUAAAGUGUGGCACUGAUAACACCAAGGUUGCAUUUUCGAUCCCUGUAUGGGACA